AAAGAACAAUAGAUUGAAUGGCUUAUAAACAACAGAAAUGUACCUCUCACAGUUGUGGAGGCUGGCAGAAAGAGAACAGGGUGGCAGCACGGUCAGAUUCUGGCAAGGGCCCUUUUACGGUUGCAGACUGCAGUCUUCUUGCAUCCUCACAUGGCAGAAAGAUGGGAGGAGAGUUGCCUGGUACCCUUUUCAACAGCAGCGUUUUAGAUCACAGAGGCUCUGCUCUUAUGACCUGAUCACCUCCCAAAUGUCAGCAGCUCCUGAUACUAGCUCACUGAAGGUUAGGAUUUCAACAUAUGUAUUUGGAGAAAACACAAACUUUCACUCUGUUGUACCUUUCAUUGGCCACCUUGCCUUCUAUUGUGUCACUUUUCUCCCUACUGGCUGCUUCCUCAACCUACCAAAUAAGGAACUGAUCUUCACAUAA
rnacentral:lncRNA from 1 species